rnacentral:lncRNA from 1 species
CUCAAGAAAAGCAUCAGGAAGCGUCUUUCCCCAAAAGCAGGUUCGGCUCUUCGCGCUCUCUUUUCUUUGCCUAGAGGUUAGCAGUGCCCGGAACACGCGCGGGGCUCUCUUCGCUGCUCUGCGCGCCCCCUACCAGCCCACGGCGGGGGUGGCGCUGGGGGUAGGGGCUCUGGCAGUACGCGAGACUCCCGUUUCUCCAGUUGGUGCAGCUCCCCUGGCUCGGAACCGGCUGAGACGCCUGAAGUCCUGGGCACCGGCGGCGCCCGGCGGGGCUGAGCACCUGGCAAGGGGGCGGGGGACCGCACCUGGGGACGCCACCGAAACUUGCGCCUGGACUAGGAAUUACAAGAGUGACCUUUAUUCAGCUGUCUCCUUUUUGAUUCCCAUAACUUCUGGAUCUAUCAAGGUGAAGCUUGAAGAUUAAACAACAGUGUCGUAUCUGACUGAAGCUAACAGCCUCAAACAAAACUGGUUAUGGAGAUUUGAUUAUAGCAAAAUGGAAUUCAGCAUUCCAUGGUCAUUUAAAUAUUACCUACUAUGCACUUUUAUCUGUCUUCAAUUAUUUGUAUCUCAUUUCACAGACGCAUUAAAGAUAACCUCAC